rnacentral:rRNA from 1 species
AGAGUUUGAUCCUGGCUCAGGAUGAACGCUGGCGGCAUGCCUAAUACAUGCAAGUCGAACGAAGUUUCUAGGAAGCUUGCUUCCAAAGAGACUUAGUGGCGAACGGGUGAGUAACACGUAGGUAACCUGCCCAUGUGUCCGGGAUAACUGCUGGAAACGGUAGCUAAAACCGGAUAGGUAUACAGAGCGCAUGCUCAGUAUAUUAAAGCGCCCAUCAAGGCGUGAACAUGGAUGGACCUGCGGCGCAUUAGCUAGUUGGUGAGGUAACGGCCCACCAAGGCGAUGAUGCGUAGCCGGCCUGAGAGGGUAAACGGCCACAUUGGGACUGAGACACGGCCCAAACUCCUACGGGAGGCAGCAGUAGGGAAUUUUCGUCAAUGGGGGGAACCCUGAACGAGCAAUGCCGCGUGAGUGAAGAAGGUCUUCGGAUCGUAAAGCUCUGUUGUAAGUGAAGAACGGAUCAUAGAGGAAAUGCUAUGGGAGUGACGGUAGCUUACCAGAAAGCCACGGCUAACUACGUGCCAGCAGCCGCGGU